rnacentral:rRNA from 1 species
AACAAACGCUGGCGGCGUGCCUAAUACAUGCAAGUCGAACGGGGAAAGCUUUCGGGUGAGUACUAGUGGCGCACGGGUGAGGAACGCGUGGAUAAUCUGCCUUAGAGUGGGGGAUAACUAGUCGAAAGAUUAGCUAAUACCGCAUAAGACCACAGGAGCUGCGGCUCAAGGGGUCAAAGGUUUUUCGCUCUAAGAUGAGUCCGCGUAAGAUUAGCUAGUUGGUGAGGUAACGGCUCACCAAGGCGACGAUCUUUAACUGGUCUGAGAGGAUGAUCAGUCACACUGGGAAUGAGACACGGUCCAGACUCCUACGGGAGGCAGCAGUAGGGAAUAUUGCACAAUGGAGGAAACUCUGAUGCAGCGACGCCGCGUGAGUGAUGAAGGCCUUCGGGUCGUAAAGCUCUGUCGCAGGGGAAUAACACAAUGAAGGUACCCUGUAAGAAAGGAUCGGCUAACUUCGUGCCAGCAGCCGCCGUAAGAC